UGAGGAAUAUUGGUCAAUGGGUGCAAGCCUGAACCAGCCAUCCCGCGUGAAGGACGACUGCCCUAUGGGUUGUAAACUUCUUUUGUAUAGGGAUAAACCUACCCUCGUGAGGGUAGCUGAAGGUACUAUACGAAUAAGCACCGGCUAACUCCGUGCCAGCAGCCGCGGUAAUACGGAGGGUGCAAGAGUUAUCCGGAUUUAUUGGGUUUAAAGGGUCCGUAGGCGGACUUAUAAGUCAGUGGUGAAAGCCUGUCGCUUAACGAUAGAACUGCCAUUGAUACUGUAAGUCUUGAGUAUAUUUGAGGUAGCUGGAAUAAGUAGUGUAGCGGUGAAAUGCAUAGAUAUUACUUAGAAUACCAAUUGCGAAGGCGGGUUACCAAGAUAUAACUGACGCUGAGGGACGAAAGCGUGGGGAGCGAACA
rnacentral:rRNA from 1 species